AACAAGGCGUACCUGCGGACCUGCGGAGGGAUCAUUACAAGUGACCCCGGUCUAACCACCGGGAUGUUCAUAACCCUUUGUUGUCCGACUCUGUUGCCUCCGGGGCGACCCUGCCUUCGGGCGGGGGCUCCGGGUGGACACUUCAAACUCUUGCGUAACUUUGCAGUCUGAGUAAACUUAAUUAAUAAAUUAAAACUUUCAACAAUGGAUCU
rnacentral:misc_RNA from 1 species